GAUCCUCAAACAUUGAGUCAAGCAAUUGACUUUGCUAUGAAGUGUGAUAGUUGACUUUUUGAAUUUCAAUUUGAGAGUCGGAUAAGUAGGCCUCAAUGUUACUAUAAUUCAAUAGCAACACCAAUGCUUUCUCAAUACAUACAUUCAAGAAUAGAGGAUAUGCAAAUUGAUGUGGUAUGUUUUAAACCUCUUAUUGAGCAAAAAAAGACUCAUCGCCGUCAAGAAGAAUUGAGCUUAUAUUAUGAAGAAUCUAAGCACACUGCUCAACAUUGUUCAAAGAAGUGAUACAAUUAUAAAAUGAAGGGUAUAAAUAUCAAAGAAGACAAUAUAUUAAAAAAAAAGUUUGUCCAACUACAAUAGGAACCGUGUGUCUGAAACUUUAUAUAAUACCUAAUGAAGGUCCUAUU
rnacentral:lncRNA from 1 species